rnacentral:tRNA from 1 species
UGAGGAGCACGCCAAGUGCAAAUUUGGAGGGACACCCCAGGGUGUCGGGGCUUCU